rnacentral:sRNA from 1 species
AUGCCUGUGGAGCCACAUGCUGGUGCUUGGGGUGCACUUCUUGGGGCCUGUAAGUUGCAUUGCAAUAUUGAAUUAGGGGAGGUUAUUGCUGCUCGCCUUCUUGAGCUUGAGCCACAUAAUGCUGGUAAUUAUGUGUCUUUGUCCAACAUCUAUGCAGCAGCAGAUCGGUGGUCGGAUGUUUCUCUUGUGAGGUAAAAUAUGAAGGAAAGAGGAGUUAGGAAAAUAACUGGUCACAGUUGCAUUAAUUCAUGAGAAUUAGUUUCAUCAUAUGACUGAUUCACCAUUCAUCAAUACCAUGAUUUUGAGGCUGCCACAUUGGUGUGAAGUGCUGAUCCUAUUGGAAGAGCCUUUCCAUCACUUAAAUAAAGAAAAAAGAAGUGCAAGGGCUGAUUGAUUUCAAAGUCCUGUUAUCUCAACCACAAAGAAUUGCAGCAGCAGUUUUCUGCCAGAGAAAAAAAAAAAAAAAAAUAACCCUGAAAUCCUCCUCUCCCGUGGUCACUGGGAGAAGCUGCACAUGGAUUGUUUAAUGGUUCUGUAUGUGUUGCUGCUUUAUAACAUGAUCACAAAUGAGCUGGUUGGUUUCAGUUAGACUCCGAUCUGUGCCAUUCCAGAUUUAAACAUUAACUACUAUAAUGAAUGUGUAAAAUUUUUACUCUUUUAUUUUGUGACCAGGAAGGGGUUUUUGAUGUGGCUUUCUGUUAGCACUGCUAACUUGUAGUUGAGCACAUUAUAGCAAUUGAUCAGUUCAGUGAUUUUAUUGUUGUCCCGACUUGCUCUUUUAACCAAUAAAUAUAUUAUCCAUGAAAUUGUUAGUAUGUGGAACUUGAUUAUUCUACAGGAUAAGUGUUGGCCCACCUUUUCAUGACUUAAGAUUUUAAGACUAAUCGUAACCACUUCUUACAUGAAUCAGUUAAGUGAUUGGAGUGAUUUUAUUGUAACAUGAUUUCUUCUGGUGUUACUGGAUGGCAUAUGGCUGAUCACUCAACUGGUGGUCUGUUUUGCAGGUCUUGGACAUGUUUCUUUGUACUCAUUUGUUGAUGAAUUCAAUUUGACAUGGUUCCUUUGGCUUUCAAUUCAGCGGUUUACUUUGUGGAUUGACCACUCCCUGCCACUAAAAUGAAACAGUAACAGGUUAAGGGUUUUUAGUUGUCUAAUAAGCCAAUAUCGUGGGAAUACCAAACUACUCUAUUAAAAGUACUGUAGCAGAUUGACUUUGAAAUGAGAUUUCUUUCUGCUUUGGGGAGAAAGAAAGAAAACUUUCAUAGAUAUGUAGACUGUAUGUGACUUCUUGUUUCUGUUUUGACCAUGUGUUGUUUCUUUGUAAUGUACCUAUACCUCAUGUAUAGUCAACCCAAUGAAGCCUUUAAAUUGUAAUCCUUGUAUCUCAAAGUAAUUUAUAAAUUUUAAGCUUUCUACUGAGUUAAGCUAUUUCACAUUUGUCAAUUUCAUAGGUGGAUGAAGGUUCAGCUGCUAUUUAGUACCAUGAAUCACAAUAGUAUCUUAAUAAAGUGGGGCCACUAGAGGAGUCAGUCAUAUUAUGCUACCGUCUCUUAAGUACAUAUUUUUUUGACUGAUGAAUCAGAAUGCAAAAGUUUAUCUGCUAGUGAGUGUUCAUUUUCACAUCCAUCGCCUUUCAUUUGAACAAAAUCUUUUAGUUCUCCUACUCAUACCUGAGCAUCUACUGUCCAGCCUCAAAAGCAUUUUUUGAAAUCUGGAUCAAAUAGUUCUCUGUCUCCUAGUUCUUACGUCCAAAAUUCUAAGAUCACAUUUUCAUGUUCAUCCAUGUUCCGAUCGAGCUUAUACCAGUCUUCUUCUUUAAGCUCUGAAAGCCAUUGGUAGCUUGGAAAUCUCCCAUCUCUUCCAUGUCCUCCAUCCUUCGACCAGUCUAUUUCUGCACAUGAUUCAGAAGCUCCAUUGGUUUUUAGUGGGGAUUUAGACAAUCUGUAUGAUGAGGAGCAUUCAGAGGUUCAUAUGAAAGGCUUUCUUAAUUUUUCUGGAGAUGCUUCUAAAAUCUGAUAGCCUUCACAAUGUAAGUUGUGCAAGCGACAGUUUUUACAGAGCAACUGGAGCUACAGUUUUUGUCUGAUGAACUUGACAUAGCUAUCACUGACCAUGGAGAAAAUCUAAGGCUUGAAGUAUCUUGCAACUGUCACUAGCUACAUUAUGAUUAAAUGUAUAUAUGCUGACUAAAGUACCAUGUAGAGGGUAAGGUAAGGAUGGUAGUACAUGGUGCUGAAUCGAAUAUGACUUGAUUAUUCGAACAAAUCAACUUCUGGCAUUAUCACCAAACUUUUAUUACAAUUCAAAAGAACAGAAUGAAUGAGAUAUGGACUUUCCUUUUGAGUGUCAAAAUGUCAAAUAUAAAAUCUUGGGCAGGCUGUCAACAUGCCUGGUGGGGCUGAGGUCUUUUUUUUUUUUUUUUUUGUGGUAUUGUUAUGUUUUUAGUAUGUGAAAAAAUUUGCAAUCUUAUCAACUGUUAUGAAAUCUUUGAAAGUCCUAUUGUCUUUCUGUUGCGUGUAGGUCUGAUUUGUUUGAUCUGAAAUGUAGAGGCUACUCCAAAGGGCGUAUUGAAGCAUAUACAUGUUGAAGGUUUGACCAUCUAUCAUGUGAAAAGCUACUUACAUAUAUUUGCUGAAUCAAGUGUUAAUUUUCAAUCAGCUACCAUUCAUAUUAAGCCUGUUUUGUUGUAUGUCUAUGCAGAAAUGCUGACUUGCCAAGUAUAUGCCCGAGAGAAAAGAAGGUAAAGAACAAAAAAAUGGAAAUAAAGUGACGCCUAUGUUCACCCUCAUCAUAAUCCUCAUCUUUCAGAAAUUAUAAACCAUAUCAGUAUAAACAUCUCAUUUAUUCAUUCUUAGCAGCUUAUGUUGUCAAUGAGCUGUAGCUCAAAUGACCCCUUCCCCUCUAAGAAUAGAGAGAGGGUGAUAUUGAGGGUUCAAGAACCCAUCAGGUGCAUGUGUAACUUAUACUUAAAGGAGAAUAAAAGUUUCAGAAGCUUGCAUCCUAUUUCACUAGCAAAACUCUUUGGAGCGAUACCUGCAAUUAUAGCAUUAUGAUAUAUAUUAUUCCUGUCUGGACUCUGGACCCACUUUUGUUCAACUUAUAUUGCCUUUGUAUAUUUCCUUCUGCUUGUUACUUAUCAAAAAAAAGUAUAUUUCCUUCUGCUUGUGAUUCACUAGAUAUGUCCAUGUGCUAGACAAUUGCUCCUUUACCAUGCAACACACCUUUUAUUUUUUAUAGGUAAGAAAAUAUUUAUUGUAAAAAGACUACUUCAUGCAAAAAUACACGAAGAGUUCAAAAAAGAUACAAUGGAAAUAUAAAAAAUUAUGUACAAAUAAGAAUAGAAUCUAUAAACAUUGGGAGGGAUUCACUUUACCAUAUAACACACUUCAUUUCCAUUUUCCAUAAGUUUUAAAAAAAAAUACAUAAUAUUUCAAUAGCUUUAAUUAUUCUAUUGUUGAGCAUGAAGGCUGAAAUUCAGAGGGAAGUCUUAUUGCUUUUAAUCUCAUUUCCACCUUCAUAUGAUACCUUGGGGUGAUAGAAGGCUCACAUGUGAAGGGGGAGAUUUGUUUAAAUAUUUAAAUGUGAGUGAUUAUUGGUUAAGUAGUCAAAUCCCACAUCGGAUGGUAGUGAAAAGAAUGAGUAGUUAAUGUAACAUUGUUGGAUUUAAACCCAUUGACUUAAACUUGCAAGUUAAGGAGAUAUCCCAAUAUGUUGUGUUAAAUCCUCAGUCCUCACAUAGAGGUUUCCAGGUAUUAAUUUCCAACUCUCGCAGGCUUGAUAUGUCAACAUCAACAAUAAUAAUAAACAUAAACUAAGGUUUUAGGGUUUUUUUUUUUUUUUUUUUUUUACUUUCCAUGUUGAACUUCAGUUUUCUCCAAAUUUUGGGAGUUCUCUUGCAAAUGUAGUUACUUUUGAAUUGAUGGUUCUGCUGCUAGAUUUCAAAGAAUGUGAUAUAUAUAUAUAUAUAAUAUUCCUUAUCCUUGACUAUGACACUCAUUCAUAUUUCUGUACUAGUGUCAAUGACAUGUUUCUUGUGAACUUUUUAUUUCUUGGAGGAAACUUUAUGUUCCUUGUCUAGUAACAUAAACUUACAUGCUGAUGUCUGAAAGUGGUGAUAUGUUUUGAGAAUUUGUGGAUUAGAGUUGUUCUCUCUCUCUCUCUCUCUCUCUCUGGUGCAUUACCUGUCCAGGAGAAUGUAAAAGUCAACAGCAUUUUAAGAUAGACCUAUUUGGCAAUCUGCUUGAUCCAUACUCACUGAAAAUUUGGAUUAUGCAUCCAAAUGUAUAUUGACUGUUGGUAUCAAUGUUGCUACAGUAAUUUACGUACUGGCAUGAUUCCAAAAUCAGCCAAUAAAAGCAGAAAACUGCAUUUGAAUAUGGCAGUUAAACUUUCUUUUGCAGAUUAGUUUACUUUUGUCAUGUCCUCUUUUUUCAGAGAAGGCUUCUAG